rnacentral:tRNA from 1 species
GGCUAUGUAGCCAAGUGGUUAAGGCGGCAGUCUGCAAAAUUGUUAUCAGGAGUUCAAAUCUCCUCAUAGCCU